GGGUAGCGGAGAAAUUCCAAUCGAACCCGGAGAUAGCUGGUUCUCCCCGAAAUAGUUUUAGGACUAGCCUCAAGUUAGAUACCUGGAGGUAAAGCACUGAAUAGCCUAGCGGCCGAGAGGUUAGCGAAGCUUAUCAAACUCAGAAUGCCAGAGUAUUGAUGCUUGGGAGUCAGACAGUGUCAGAUAAAUGUCAUUGUCAAAAGGGAAACAGCCCAGAUCUACAGCUAAGGUCCCAAAGUCAGGUUAAGUGGAAAACGAUGUGAAGAUACGCAGACAACCAGGAUGUUGGCUCAGAAGCAGCCACUCAUUCAAAGAGUGCGUAAUAGCUCACUGGUCGAGCGUCUUUGCGCGGAGAAUUUAACGGGGCUAAACCUGACACCGAAGCUUAGGCAAUCCAGUAAUGGAUUGGGUAGGGGAGCGUUGUAUACGCGGAGAAACAGUAGCGUAAGCGGCUGUGGAGUGUAUAGAAGUGAGAAUGCCGGAAUGAGUAGCGCGAAUGCAGUGAGAAUCUGCAUGGCCGAAAGCCUCAGGUUUCUGGAGGAAGGUUCGUCCGCUCCAGGUUAGUCGGGAGCUAAGGUGAGGCCGGAAGGCGUAGCCGAUGCACAGACGGUAGAGAUUCCGUCACCACCAAAAGAGUUAAGCACAGGGACACAUUUGAAGUCUCAGAGCCGGGUGUUGGUUCCGGUAGAGAUCGAGGGAAGUUAGUACCGAAGUCUGAGAUGGAAGAUGGCGAGAAAAGCUGUGUGUAUUUCUGAGGUGCCCGUACCGCAAACCGACACAGGUAGGUAGGAAGAAGAUUCUAAGGCCAACGGGAGAAGGGUUGUUAAGGAACUCGGCAAAUUGACCCCGUAACUUCGGGAGAAGGGGUGCUCCAGAGAUGGAGCCGCAGAGAAUCGGCCCAAGCAACUGUUUACCAAAAACACAGGUUUGUGCUAAAUCGAAAGAUGACGUAUACGAGCUGACGCCUGCCCGGUGCUGGAAGGUUAAGAGGAGAUGUGCAAGCAUUGAAUCGAAGCCCCAGUGAACGGCGGCCGUAACUAUAACGGUCCUAAGGUAGCGAAAUUCCUUGUCAGGUAAGUUCUGACCCGCAUGAAAGGCGUAAUGAUUUGGGCACUGUCUCAACAGCCCGCCCGGCGAAAUUGUAGUACCGGUGAAGAUGCCGGUUACCCGCGACAAGACGGAAAGACCCCAUGGAGCUUUACUGUAGCCUAAUAUUGGGUUUCGAUGUUGCAUGCACAGGAUAGAUGGGACUCUGGGAAACCAAGGCUUUGGCUUUGGCGGAGAGGCCGUUGGGAUACCAUCCUUGCGAUAUUGGAAUUCUAACCUGCGGCUCUGAAUCGAGUCGGGGGACAUUGUUAGGUGGGCAGUUUGACUGGGGCGGUCGCCUCCUAAAGAGUAACGGAGGCGUUCAAAGGUUCGCUCAGCUUGAACGGAAAUCAAGCAAAAGAGUGCAAACGCAGAAGCGAGCCUAACUGCGAGACUGACGGGUCGAGCAGUAACGAAAGUUGGAGUUAGUGAUCCGGUGGUAUGUGAGUGGAAAUGCCAUCGCUCAACGGAUAAAA
rnacentral:rRNA from 1 species